rnacentral:rRNA from 1 species
GUGGGGAAUAUUGGACAAUGGGCGCAAGCCUGAUCCAGCCAUGCCGCGUGAGUGAUGAAGGCCUUAGGGUUGUAAAGCUCUUUCGCCCGCGAGGAUAAUGACGGUAGCGGGAUAAGAAGCCCCGGCUAACUUCGUGCCAGCAGCCGCGGUAAUACGAAGGGGGCUAGCGUUGUUCGGAAUCACUGGGCGUAAAGCGCACGUAGGCGGACUUUUAAGUCAGAGGUGAAAGCCUGGAGCUCAACUUCAGAACUGCCUUUGAUACUGGAAGUCUUGAGUCCGGUAGAGGUGAGUGGAACUGCUAGUGUAGAGGUGAAAUUCGUAGAUAUUAGCAAGAACACCAGUGGCGAAGGCGGCUCACUGGACCGGUACUGACGCUGAGGUGCGAAAGCGUGGGGAGCAAACAGGAUUAGAAACCCUUGUAGUCC